CCUGUGCCCCUAGUAAGGGAGGCUAGCUCUCCUUCAGAAUACCAUCCCCCUCUGGGCUCUUUGCUCUCCCACCUACCUGAAAGCCACAGUCGUAGCAGUCUCCUGCCUCAACACCACCGUGUUAGGUUCAGUCCCUUGUGAGUGCGUCAGUGCUGACACUUCUAAGUGGCUUUACAAGAUGACUGGAAUUUUCCAUAUUAAAGCUCCGAACUGUCCAUUGUGUAUUUUAUUUUCAUUUACCUGUUAGGGACUCCUUCUUCUUCUCCUCGUGCUAUACGCACUAGGCACAGAGAUCUGUGGCUGAGCUGUAUCCCAAAUUCUCAUCAUCCUUUAUGAUGGUUGCGUUUUAAAUAUAGGAAAGUUCAAAUUUGGGGGAGAAUUCUGGCACUGGAAUGUGUGUGGUGUUUUCAUACUCUCUUUGCAUAUGUUCCUUCAAAAUUCAAGAAUUUUGUUAAUUACAUAAAUUGCAUAUGGCCUAUCAGUUAUUUGUUAUUUGGGUCAUUAAGUCAAAGAUGUUUUGUUAUAAAGAAAUUAUGUGAUUUGUGAAUCCUUUAAAAGUUUACAUUCAUUUAUUUAUUUACUUAUUGUAUGUGUAUAUAGGUCAGAGGACAGCUUGAGGGAGUUGGUUAUUUUUCGUCUACCACGUGGGCUUGGGACGGAACUCUGGUCCUUAGGCUUGGCAAGCAGGUGCCUUUACCCACUGAGCCAUCUGCCUUUAUCCACCGAGCCAUCUUGCAGGGCCAUAAUUUGUGAAUUCUUAAACUCAGAACCAACAUGGCAAUGGUGUUGAUUCACCAACAGCAGAAGUUGGAACCAGGUUUGUUUCUCAGCAGCACUGACCCAACAGUCAAAAAUAGGUUUGUCUGCCAUUAGACACCCAUGAGCUCCAUGUUUGCUGGUUCCUUGAAUCAUGUGCUCUUUGGCAUGAAGAGAACAGAGAAGAGGGCUGAGCAGUCAACAGGCUAGAGUCAACUGAUAAGAGGGAAACGCGCCUGAGAAAAUGAAAUGCCUCCAUCAGAUCAGCUGUAGGCAAGCCUGUGGGACAUUUUCUUAAUUAGUGAUUGAUGAGGGAGGACCCAGCCCAUUGUGGGUGGUGGCACCCCUGGGCUGGUGGUCCUGGGCUCUAUAAGUAGGCUAAGCAAACCAUGAGAAGAAAACCAAGAAGUAGCAACCUUCCCUGGUCUCUGCCUCCGGGUUCAUGGCCUGCUGCAGUGCCUACCCUAAUUUCCUUCAGUGGUAGACUAUGGAUGUGGAAUUGUAAACCAAAUAAGCCCUC